CAGAAUAUAGUUUAUAAAAAAUAAUAAUUUUGGAGAUUAUAGAAAAAUUUUUGAUUUUAUUCUGA
rnacentral:tRNA from 1 species